GUUACGGCAUUCUGAAGUGUAAAGUGUACGCUUUGAUUUUUUUGUUAUUAUAAGUUUUUUUUUCUUUUGGUUAUUUUUUUCAGUUCAAGAAUGUCGACGAUCGUGUCACCGUGUCGAAUGGGGAGUUCGGUACGUGACAAGGGCUGCAUUAGUUACGGACAUUAGAUCGCAGUCUUCGUUAGGUCAUGGUAGUUACGGAGAAGAUCGACGACCUGAGGAACCCCCAUUUGAGACGAGGUCAGAAGAGGUCACCACUGGGAAUCUCCAAGACUUCGUAUAGACUAAAUUGACAGCCUUCUACGCUUCGCUCCUCGAGGAUUUGCUUCGGUCACCUCGUUUUCCCUGUCCUUCAUCCCAUACACACGUCCUGUCUUGACCCAUAACCUUAUCCUAUAGCAUUCCUAAGCAUCCCCUCCUCCUUUCUGGUUCCCGACGGGAUUAAAAGGUUUGUAACCUAAGCCGGAACGCCCGAGUGAUCCCAUAUCCUUCCCCCUUCCCCCUCACUUCCGAUCCAUCUUGAAGUCACCGCCAAAUAACCCUCUCAUGACGAGGCCAUUCGUCUCGUCCCUUGUGGAAGUCCUGAGGAAAAUGGUCGACCCGCUGAUUGCAUUAAGUAUUGGCCCUUUAAAGGUGGCAAGAAAGGGCGAGUAACUUCCUCCUGAUGACAAUGGGGGAGCAACAGGUUGUAAUCUUAGGGUAGGAACGAGUAAUGCCCCGCCAUAAAUAAUAAUUAGUUCUCAGUAAGCAGCGAAUCAUGGCUGUAUGUGGUAGCCACGAUCAACGCCAGAGAUCGAGAGGAAACGGAACUUGGAUUACCGCACGAAGAAAAUUAUCAUCAGUAUUCAGAGAGAGUAAUGAGACGGCCAAGGGAAGAGAACUUCUUACCUGCCUGCAUUGAUCGUUAAGGUUACCAUUCUCCUGCCUCGUUUACUAGUCAAUAUCGGCAGUAAUUUGAUGAUGCUUAGGUGCUGUGGCUCUUAGAAGAAUGACCAAUCACGCAAACAAACUUUGCAGGCAGGCUGCCAGGAGAUCGGGGGAAAAAAAAAAAAAAAAAAAAAUACUGCUCUGGAGAUCGUCGAUUACCAUUACUCGGAAGACAUACACUACUGCGGAGACCCAAGAAGGCGGACGCGGAUUUCACUGUACUGAGUAACACCAUCAUGCUUUCAAGAAAUAUGAAGGAAUGGCUGUCUGAAGUGGUAGGCUACAGACAGCAUUUGCGAAGGCCUGAGUGAGCAAGUGAGAGGAGAGGGCAGGGGCAGCAGCAGCAGGAGGAAGGAUGAGAGCCGUCUACUGGACGUGACCGGUGCUGGCUGGAAUCAUUCUCGCUGCGAAGCAUAUGAAAUGUCAGAACGACCCCAGCGUGUUAGUUUGAAGGAUAGGUUCCUUGAAAAAUUUUUCGAUGUAACCCAGUGGUUUAUACGCUCUGCCAGAACGUCAUUCAUAUGCUUGUUCCUCGUCAGACUGAUCAUCUGCGUGUAGGUGACACACACGAUUUCUGUUACGAUGAGGUAUAAAACAGUAAGAUGUGCUGUGUGGUUUCCAUGGUCCAGAAUCAUCAUCAUCCAUCAUCUUCAUCAUCAUCAUCAUCAACCAGAGAAUCUGAGGGAACCGAGUUCAGACGACUGAUGGAACAUCUCAGGUCCAGCAAUGUUCUCCUGAUCCCAACGGUUAUUCAAAAAAAGGUCAAUGUCAAAAAAAAAAAAAAAUGAAGGCAAAGUAAAAAGCAUGUUCAAAUAUCAGGCAAAAUGAUAGUCAAAGGGGUUUAACUAUGGGGCCGUAUUCAGGUGUUCAGAUUUUAUUCUUAGGGGGACCUCUUAUUUCUAAAAUAGCAGUUUCAGUACUUAUUCGUUAAUCAAGAGUAACGAGAGUGAUUCAUUAUUAACUUCAAGCUCAUGUUGAGUGAUAUGUUAUCGACUUGAAGACAGGUAUAUGACAUGGGAGAUUCAUACAAAUUGAGAAUACACGUUUCAAAGUACAUUGUACUUCCUGGGAAACCAGUUCAUAGCUUGAAAAUUUGAAUCCUUUUAGAAUUGCUGCACAUAGAAAGGUAUACUCAGCCACAUACGUACGUAUACAUAAGAGUGUACAAGUGUCAAUGAAAUAAGUGUAAGUAUAUGCCUAUGUGUAUUUCUAGCCUUGUGACGUCGCAUAUUCAUCUACUACAGAGGCCAGGAAGCUUAGAAUAAUCAAGGGGCGUGUUCUUGGCUACUUCAGGCUCAUCAAAGAUUGCAUGGGGAUCGCCUUAAACUGUUCUUUAGACUUGUCAAAUCAUUCUGCGUUUGUUGAUUUCUGGUGGACUUUGUGGUUAAGUAUAUCUUAGUUUUAUCAGACCACUGAGCUGAUUAGCAGCUCUCCUUGGGCUGGCCCGAAGGAUUAGAUAUUUUAACGUGGCUAGGAACCAAUUGGUCACCUAGCAACGGGACCUACAGCUUAUUGUGGGACUCGAACCACAUUAUAUCGAGAAAUGAAUUUCUAUCACCAGAAAGACAUUCCUCUGAUCCACGUUGGCCGCGCCGAGAAUCGAACUUCAGACUACUGGAUUGGUAGCAGAGCGCGAAAAUCACUCGUCCAACGAGGAACUUGGACUUGUGGUGUUGUUGGUGUUCUACAGAAGGCGUGAGUGAAGAAAAUCGCGGCAUCUUUGCUAACCGGGAGACGUGAAUUGCUAAUGACUUACAUUUUUUUUUCUGAAGCCAUCCACAUGGUCCAUUAAUUUCUUAUCGGGUUUCAAUUCUUCAUGUAUAAAGCUUCCGCUUUCGACCAUUUAUGAUAGAGCUUCACUGAAAAUUCACUCAAAUUUUAUCGAAGUGAGAACGACAAGGCACUCUGCAGUUAUGCCAUUCUGUGCCCGCGGGGUUUGGGCGUUGAAUUCAUGUGGCAAUAGACGAUUCAUUCUGUUUUUUUUUUUUUUUUUUUUUUUUUUUUUUUUUAUUUAGCCCCGAAACAAGAAUAGCGAGAAAGAAGUUGGCCAAGUGUUAGAGCAUCACAGCCUGGCAUUUUUUACCGCUCCUGACAAAUACAAUUAGCAGUCUUUGCGGGAAAAGGAGAAAGCGGCUCGAUGGAUUCCUUUUAUGCCCCGUCGUAAAACUCAUCUUGAGUUUAUUGGUCGGAUUAAUCAACUCCAAGUCAAAAGGUUCCCACCAGAAGAGUUUCGACUGUAUCUACUGUAGUUAAUAUUCCAUUCUAGUCCGCUUGAAAAGGCUCCUGCGUUUUUUGGUCUCUCUCCUCGAGGAACUUUCAGGAUCUCAGAUUGGCUAUUUGCGCCGCGUAAAGAUUCGCUUAUUAUUUUGUGUUCCGGGCUCCAUGAUGCCGAAUCACAUUAGGAUGAUCGAUCCUUUCGCAUUCAAAUGAGGCGCCGCUGAAAAAAGAAGAAAAAGAAGAAGAAAAAAAGUGUUUCAUGCUAGUAUCCUCUUGAUCCAUGGCGAAUAAGGCUUAUUUAGGUCGGGUUUUAUUACUCUGAUAGGCUUACGACUGGCCAGUGAUUAUGACUUGUCUGCAUUACGUUACUCCGUUAAAUAAGGUUGUGUUUGCCUUAAUCAGUUUAUCUCUGAAUUAGGUGCCGGGCGUAAAUGUGCGUUUACGUUUAUAAGCCGAUUAUUAGCGAAUGUAGUAGUAGUGCGAGUCGACUUUCAGUGAUCGGGCUUUUGCACAUAUUAAGAAGGCUUCUCCCAUUGACGAAUGGCGUCAACGAGGGCAAGGAAGGUUGGCCUCUGGCGACGAUAAAUAACGGCCAGGGAACUGACUUGAGGCGUCGAUACUUCUGGUGAAGGUUAUAUAUAGGUGCGCAAGGACACCUCUGGUUAAUGAGACAUUAAAGAAAUAAAUUUGUUGUUUUUCGUCAUCUAUAGCGGUUUUCGCAAAGGAAUUUACGUCGCUUCCAUUCAUGGGGCCUGGUGGCUUGUAAGGCUUCCUCUCCUUUUGUUGUUGGCGCCUGAUAUUGGAAAUUGGCUUACGAAACCAACACCUCUCUGUAUUUGUGUAUGAGAGAGAGAGAGAGAGAGAGAGAGAGAGAGAGAGAGAGAGAGAGAGAGAAAUGAAUGUAACUGUGAAAAUCAGACGUAUAUUGAAAGGUGGUUGUUAUUAUUAUUAUUAUUAUUAUUAUUAUUAUUAUUAUUAUUAUUAU